UAAAUGGCCAUGAGAUAUGUUAAUAUCCCCUUUUUCUGUGUUCAGAGCUUACCAAAGCAAUAGCAAACCUUGCAAAACCAUGAAAGAAACCACAAAUAUAUGCGACAUGGAUUCGGGUUCUUAACUCUGAUAAAACUCCGGGUGGAUCCAGUGAAAUUAUUGCACCUGCUCCAGAAGGGAAUUCUGCGGGGAGAAAAGAGAGUCAGUGUGUGAAAUUGGAUAUUUUGAAGCGGCAGAGGGGAGGAAGAAUUUCCCCAGUGCGCACCUCUGGGUACCCUCCUACCACCGACAUCAAAAGAAGCGAGCCGGUCGGUCAGAUAUAACGCUUGAUGAACAGAACACAGACCGAAGAUGACAAGAGGGAAGUUUACAAGGAGGUUUUACACGACAUAGGAGAUUUCAUUCACCACCAGCGACAACACAGUCUCCCCCAGCGUGUCCAAGCACGGACUGUCAGACCGGUGCGUUUUACGCAUAUCCUUUCCAGGCGUGCAGCAGAAAUAAAAUUGGACCUGGACGGGGAUGGGAAGUGGAUCAGCUGUUGCUGGCCAGAGCUGAAGGUGACUUGCUGGCUGGGCCAACGGCUGCAACACAGGACAUGGGUCCUGCCUCUCCUCCCCGCUCGUGUCUUGUGUUGCAGCCAGUGGAGCUGCCUG
ensembl:lncRNA